rnacentral:rRNA from 1 species
GAUGAACGCUAGCGGGAGGCCUAACACAUGCAAGCCGAGCGGUAUUGUUUCUUCGGAAAUGAGAGAGCGGCGUACGGGUGCGUAACACGUGUGCAACCUGCCUUUAUCUGGGGGAUAGCCUUUCGAAAGGAAGAUUAAUACUCCAUAAUAUAUUGAACGGCAUCGUUUAAUAUUGAAAGCUCCGGCGGAUAGAGAUGGGCACGCGCAAGAUUAGCUAGUUGGUGAGGUAACGGCUCACCAAGGCGAUGAUCUUUAGGGGGCCUGAGAGGGUGAUCCCCCACACUGGUACUGAGACACGGACCAGACUCCUACGGGAGGCAGCAGUGAGGAAUAUUGGUCAAUGGGUGCAAGCCUGAACCAGCCAUCCCGCGUGAAGGACGACUGCACUAUGGGUUGUAAACUUCUUUUGUAUAGGGAUAAACCUACCCUCGUGAGGGUAGCUGAAGGUACUAUACGAAUAAGCACCGGCUAACUCCGUG